rnacentral:rRNA from 1 species
AUUCCGGAGAGGGAGCCUGAGAAACGGCUACCACAUCCAAGGAAGGCAGCAGGCGCGCAAAUUACCCACUCCCGGCACGGGGAGGUAGUGACGAAAAAUAACGAUACGGGACUCAUCCGAGGCCCCGUAAUCGGAAUGAGUACACUCUAAACCCUUUAACGAGGAUCAAUUGGAGGGCAAGUCUGGUGCCAGCAGCCGCGGUAACUCCAGCUCCAAUAGCGUAUAUUAAAGUUGUUGCGGUUAAAAAGCUCGUAGUCGAAUUUGUGUCUCGUGCCGCUGGUUCAUCGUCCGCGGUGUUAACUGGCGAGUCGCGAGACGUCCUGCCGGUGGGCUUAGCUCGCAAGGGCGGCCCAACUCAAUCCUGCCGCGGUGCUCUUCAUUGAGUGUCGAGGUGGGCCGGCACGUUUACUUUGAACAAAUUAGAGUGCUUAAAGCAGGCUAAAACUUCGCCUGAAUACUGUGUGCAUGGAAUAAUGGAAUAGGACCUCGGUUCUAUUUUGUUGGUUUUCGGAACCCCGAGGUAAUGAUUAAUAGGAACGGAUGGGGGCAUUCGUAUUGCGACGUUAGAGGUGAAAUUGUUGGACCGUC